GUAUAUAAAGAUGGACGACGCGUCUCGACUUCCUACUGCUAUGCAAAGUGAAGCCAAAAUAUCGCAUUUACGACAUGUAUGUAUUACAGGAGCUGUCAUGGUGCUCAUAUGAAGGCGUUUGCAACCAGACUCUGCAGUAGAGUCGGGAGAGUGGGAUUCAGCCCCUCAACUUGACUGACAGCCCCCCACCACCGAGCCGAGUGAACCAAGUAGCCAUGAUGGAGGUAAACCAGCUGGUAACUAGCAGCUACAGCCGUAACAAUGAUUACAUUCGGUGCAGCCGCACUGUAUGUGACCAAUUCAUAUAAACUUGCAUCCAUCCUGCCCUGCCAGUCGCACAGCCGGUACACACAGCUGUUCAGGAAGUCGCUGGUGCUAACAUUAGCAUUAGUGAUUAGCAUGUGUAAUUCACAGUCUCUGUGUUAACAGACCACGUUAAUGGCCAUUUUAAAUCAGUAAAGUCUAUGAAAUGUUUAGUUUAUGUUCAUCCACCACAGCAGUUCAUUCAGUUUUUUUUAAUAACAUUUUACUGUGUCAUGAAGGUAAGUUAAUGCUUUUUGUGUUUUAUGGGUGUAUAAGAGUGAGAAUAUUGCUAGAAUACAGACAGUUAGCCAGCCAAGUUAAACCUGUGAGUCUGUAGAGAUGUAGGCUGGAAAGCGAGGUUUAUUGUAUUUCCUAGCUGACAGAUUUAAGGGUAACAGGGCCAGUUAGACUGCCAAGGUCAUCCAGUAAACACAGUUAAAGGUGUAAUGAGAUGUUUUCAAUUAGUUUAACUGAAACAUCUAUGGAACAUAAUUAUUCAUGCAGAUGAGAAAAUGUGUUUAUAAUUGUGUAUGCUCCAUAUUGUUUACGUAUUGUGUCGAAAAUGUUGUGGUGCAGGUGCAGUUUACACAUGUAGAUGUUUGUAGCAUUGUGUAUGGGAUGUUUAAAGUAAGUGAAAUCCAUUGAGAAGUCUGAAGCAAGCCUGUAAAAGUGGAAGUUAUUACAAUGAAGUUCAGAGAUAGUAGAGCUGAUGCAAGCUGAGCGAACGCCACAAUGAUAUGAGUAACGUACUGACUACUGUUUUAAAUAUGUUUUGCACAGGUAACCCCUGUGAAUAAAUGUGCUGCACCAGUUUGGACCCAGAGCUUCAUUCUGAACCUAAACACACUCAGGCGAACUGGCUAAGAUUUAGUGUUAGCUAAUCCCAGUUUGCUAGAAAAGAAGAGAGGAAUCACAGCCAGAUCUGCUCAGACUGGCAGAGUGGACAUGAACAGUAGAAGGUCUGCUGUCAAGGCUGGGGGUGUCUUCAUCUUCUGCACUGUACUGUGGCACAGACUGCUUCUGUAAAUACAAUACAAUCAUGUGUAAUGUAUUAAUUGUAUAUAGAUCAGUUUGAGCUCAAUAAGUAUAAGUAUACUAUAUGUGACCACUGAAAUACAAAAGAUAACUAACUUUGCUCCUUUGUUCUCUAUGAUUAUUAUUGUCACUUCGCAAUAAACUAAAGUUCAGAAAAUUAUUGUUCUUCACACUGAACAGAUGCUUCAUCACUGUCUGUCCUUUGACUGUCUAAGUUAGUUUAUAUGUUAAUUACGGAGCUUUUCAAGAACUAUGGCUGGCUGAUAAUUUUAAUACUUACAUUAAA